AGCGAACGCUGGCGGCAGGCCUAACACAUGCAAGUCGAACGAACUCUUCGGAGUUAGUGGCGGACGGGUGAGUAACACGUGGGAACGUGCCUUUUGGUUCGGAAUAACUCAGGGAAACUUGUGCUAAUACCGAAUGUGCCCUUCGGGGGAAAGAUUUAUCGCCAUUAGAGCGGCCCGCGUCUGAUUAGCUAGUUGGUGAGGUAACGGCGCACCAAGGCGACGAUCAGUAGCUGGUCUGAGAGGAUGACCAGCCACACUGGGACUGAGACACGGCCCAGACUCCUACGGGAGGCAGCAGUGGGGAAUCUUGCGAAAUGGGCGAAAGCAUGACGCAGCCAUGCCGCGUGAAUGAUGAAGGUCUUAGGAUAGUAAAAUUCUUUCACCGGGGACGAUAAUGACGGUACCCGGAGAAGAAGCCCCGGCUAACUUCGUG
rnacentral:rRNA from 1 species